GACGAACGCUGGCGGCGUGCCUAAUACAUGCAAGUAGAACGCUGAAGGAGGAGCUUGCUUCUCUGGAUGAGUUGCGAACGGGUGAGUAACGCGUAGGUAACCUGCCUGGUAGCGGGGGAUAACUAUUGGAAACGAUAGCUAAUACCGCAUAAUAGUAGAUGUUGCAUGACAUUUGCUUAAAAGGUGCAAUUGCAUCACUACCAGAUGGACCUGCGUUGUAUUAGCUAGUUGGUGAGGUAACGGCUCACCAAGGCAACGAUACAUAGCCGACCUGAGAGGGUGAUCGGCCACACUGGGACUGAGACACGGCCCAGACUCCUACGGGAGGCAGCAGUAGGGAAUCUUCGGCAAUGGACGGAAGUCUGACCGAGCAACGCCGCGUGAGUGAAGAAGGGUUUCGGAUCGUAAAGCUCUGUUGUAAGAGAAGAACGAGUGUGAGAGUGGAAAGUUCACACUGUGACGGUAGCUUACCAGAAAGGGACGGCUAACUACGUG
rnacentral:rRNA from 1 species